UACGAGGGGGGCGAGCGUUGUUCGGAAUUAUUGGGCGUAAAGGGUGCGUAGGCGGUUUGGUAAGUCUUAUGUGAAAUCUACAGGCUCAACUUGUAGUCUGCAUGAGAAACUGCCGGGCUUGAGUAUGGGAGAGGUGAGUGGAAUUCCUGGUGUAGCAGUGAAAUGCGUAGAUAUCAGGAGGAACACCUGUGGCGAAAGCGACUCACUGGACCAUAACUGACGCUGAUGCACGAAAGCUAGGGGAGCAAACAGG
rnacentral:rRNA from 1 species